rfam:Colinus virginianus strain Texas jcf7180006226282, whole genome shotgun sequence.
CUGCGGUGAUGGCACUCUUAGGACACCUUUGAGUUAAGUCGUGAAAAGAAGUGUAACCGCUGAGCAGC